rnacentral:RNase_P_RNA from 1 species
GGAUAAUCGCACUUUUAUAGUGAGGAAAGUCCGUGCAUUCAAGGACAAAUCUCCGGAGAAACUCCGGACGGUGUGAAUCGGUGGAUAGUGCCACAGAAAUGUAAACUGCCGAUGGAUUAAUUUCACAGGCGAUGGUGCAACGGUGAGUUAAGAGCUUCACCAGUAAUAUUGAGAAAUAUUAGCUAGGUAAACCCAGAUUGAAUGCAAGAUAGAAUUGAAGGCUAAAGGUGUCCGCCUACUUCUAAGUUAUCGCUAGAGAUUAUGAGUAAUCAUAAUACCAGACAGAUGAUUAUCGAGAAACAGAACACGGCUUAUGAGCUA